UGGGGUGUUAGCUUAGUGGCAGAGCACCUGCCUGGCAUGCCUGGGGUACUGGGUUCGAUCCUCAGCACCACAU
rnacentral:tRNA from 1 species